rnacentral:rRNA from 1 species
GAUGAACGCUGGCGGCGUGCUUAACACAUGCAAGUCGAACGAGAAGUGGAGACGGAAACCUUCGGGCGGAAGACUUUACUUCGAGUGGCGGACGGGUGAGUAACGCGUGGGUAACCUGCCUCAUACAGGGGGAUAACAGUUGGAAACGACUGUUAAUACCGCAUAAGACCACAGCACCGCAUGGUGCGGGGGUAAAAACUCCGGUGGUAUGAGAUGGACCCGCGUUCGAUUAGCCAGUUGGCGGGGUAACGGCCCACCAAAGCGACGAUCGAUAGCCGAUCUGAGAGGAUGACCGGCCACAUUGGGACUGAGACACGGCCCAAACUCCUACGGGAGGCAGCAGUGGGGAAUAUUGCACAAUGGGGGAAACCCUGAUGCAGCGACGCCGCGUGAGUGAAGAAGUAUUUCGGUAUGUAAAGCUCUAUCAGCAGGGAAGAAAAUGACAGUACCUGAGUAAGAG